rnacentral:rRNA from 1 species
AACGAACGCUGGCGGCAGGCCUAACACAUGCAAGUCGAGCGAGGUAGCAAUACCUAGCGGCGGACGGGUGAGUAACGCGUGGGAACGUACCCUUUGCUACGGAAUAGCCCCGGGAAACUGGGAGUAAUACCGUAUGUGCCCUUCGGGGAAAGAUUUAUCGGCAAAGGAUCGGCCCGCGUUGGAUUAGGUAGUUGGUGGGGUAAUGGCCUACCAAGCCGACGAUCCAUAGCUGGUUUGAGAGGAUGAUCAGCCACACUGGGACUGAGACACGGCCCAGACUCCUACGGGAGGCAGCAGUGGGGAAUCUUAGACAAUGGGCGCAAGUCUGAUCUAGCCAUGCCGCGUGAGUGAUGAAGGCCUUAGGGUCGUAAAACUCUUUCGCUGGGGAAGAUAAUGACGGUACCCAGUAAAGAAACCCCGGCUAACUCCGUG